rnacentral:lncRNA from 1 species
CCUCCAUCCUCUCAGCAAUCGCCACCGUCAAGCACCCAGCUCGUGACCGGUGUAUUCACAGCACAGAGACGCGUAUCAGACCUCCGAUGUCGACCAUUUUCACUAUUCUGAUGCUGCUGCUGGCCACCCUGAGUAUGGUCAGCGGCCGCUGCCCGGACAACUGCCCAGCAAACUUCCACUGUCGGCUUAACAAACAUUGUUACCCGGAUAUCGACUUCGGUGACACGUACCGACACAUCUGCUGCCCGGGACGUCAUGGUCGAUGACCUCAUGGAUGUGACUUGGAAGAACACGACAGACGGUACAAGACACCAUAGACACACGUGGACCCCGGAGUGAGCGGGCGUCGGUAGGCGUGGAGCACCGCGGCAUGCCAGCCAGACAGAAAAGGAUAAGAGUUCAAAUCGGAGUAAGUUGUGUCGCCAUUGCUGGCACUGAUUUGGAACUUCCGGCUACUAUUGAACGUUGAAAGUGUGAUGGUCUUUACACAGCGCGCAAUGAACCGGAGACUUUGGUCACGUGUUGGAUAUGCUUGACAUGUUCACGUUGCGUUUUCGUGUGGGAGAAAU